rnacentral:rRNA from 1 species
CAGUGGGAAUUUUCCGCAAUGGGCGAAAGCCUGACGGAGCAAUGCCGCGUGGAGGUGGAAGGCCUACGGGUCGUCAACUUCUUUUCUCGGAGAAGAAACAAUGACGGUAUCUGAGGAAUAAGCAUCGGCUAACUCUGUGCCAA